rnacentral:rRNA from 1 species
UACGUAGGGUCCGAGCGUUGUCCGGAAUUAUCGGGCGUAAAGAGCUCGUAGGCGGUUUGUCGCGUCUGCUGUGAAAUCCCGAGGCUCAACCUCGGGCCUCCAGUGGGUACGGGCAGACUGGAGUGCGGUAGGGGAGAAUGGAAUUCCUGGUGUAGCGGUGGAAUGCGCAGAUAUCAGGAGGAACACCGGUGGCGAAGGCGGCUACCUGGACAGAAACUGACGCUGAGGCGCGAAAGCUAGGGGAGCAAACAGG